UACAGAGGGUGCAAGCGUUGUUCGGAAUUAUUGGGCGUAAAGCGCGUGUAGGCGGCUUUGCAAGUCGGGUGUGAAAGCCCUCAGCUCAACUGAGGAAGUGCGCCCGAAACUGCAGAGCUUGAGUACCGGAGAGGAUGGCGGAAUUCCCCAAGUAGAGGUGAAAUUCGUAGAUAUCGGGAGGAACACCGGUGGCGAAGGCGGCGACCCGGGUAGAUACUGACGCUGAGGUGCGAAAGCGUGGGGAGCAAACAGG
rnacentral:rRNA from 1 species